rnacentral:lncRNA from 1 species
GCCUACUUUGAUGCUAUUUGCCAACAAGAACUCUACAUUUUCGAUGGCGGUCCUGUGAUUUCGCCCAUGUCGGCAGCACUCUCCAGAUACGUCUCGUACCUGAACAAGCUUCUGCCAUACGUUGCACUCAGUUUAAAGCAGGUGCUAGCUCACCAACUUCAGACAUGAAGUGUCAUGAACUACGG